rnacentral:rRNA from 1 species
UAAUAGCGUAUAUUAAUGUUGUUGCAGUUAAAAAGCUCGUAGUUGGAUUUUGGUGUUUGACAAAUGGUCUGCCUUUCGGUGUGCACUGUUUGUUGGCACUUCUUUUCUGGGGAACUCACUGCUCUUAAUUGAGGGGUGCUGUAACGCAGAUCGUUUACUUUGAAAAAAUUAGAGUGUUCAAAGCAGGUCAACGCAUUGAAUACAUUAGCAUGGAAUAAUGGAAUAGGACUUUGGUCUUAUUUUGUUGGUUUCUAAGGCCGAGGUAAUGAUUAAUAGGGAUAGUUGGGGGCGUUUAUAUUCCGUUGUCAGAGGUGAAAUUCUUGGAUUUACGGAAGAUAAACUACUGCGAAAGCAUUCGCCAAGGAUGUUUUCAUUAA